GGGCGCUUGGCUUAGUGGUAAAGCGCUCCCUUAGCAUGUUUCGAGCAUCUCGAGCAUCUGUAUGGGAGAGGUCCAGGGUUCGAUUCCCUGAGUGUCCA
rnacentral:tRNA from 1 species